rnacentral:rRNA from 1 species
AGUUGAUCCUGGCUCAGGAUGAACGCUAGCUACAGGCUUAACACAUGCAAGUCGAGGGGCAUCAUGGAGUUGCUUGCAAACUCUGAUGGCGACCGGCGCACGGGUGAGUAACGCGUAUCCAACCUUCCCUAUAGUAGAGGAUAGCCCGGCGAAAGUCGGAUUAAUACUCUAUGUUUUCCGUUGCAGACAUCUAAGAUGGAACAAAGGCUUGCCGCUAUAGGAUGGGGGAUGCGUCUGAUUAGGUAGUCGGCGGGGUAACGGCCCACCGAGCCAUCGAUCAGUAGGGGUUCUGAGAGGAAGGUCCCCCACAUUGGAACUGAGACACGGUCCAAACUCCUACGGGAGGCAGCAGUGAGGAAUAUUGGUCAAUGGGCGAGAGCCUGAACCAGCCAAGUAGCGUGCAGGACGACGGCCCUAUGGGUUGUAAACUGCUUUUAUGCGGGGAUAAAGUUCACUACGUGUAGUGUUUUGUAGGUACCGCAUGAAUAAGGACCGGCUAAUUCCGUGCCAGCAGCGGC